rnacentral:rRNA from 1 species
CUGCAGAGAUGUGGCCCCCUUCGUGGUCGGUAGUACAGGUGGUGCAUGGCUGUCGUCAGCUCGUGUCGUGAGAUGUUGGGUUAAGUUCCCAUAACGAGCGCAACCCCUAUCAUUAGUUGCCAUCAGGUCAAGCUGGGGACUCUAAUGAAACUGCCUACGCAAGUAGUGAGGAAGGUGGGGAUGACGUCAAAUCAGCACGGCCCUUACGUCCAGGGCUACACACGUGCUACAAUGGCCGGUACAAAGGGUUGCCAAGCCGCGAGGUGGAGCUAAUCCCAUAAAACCGAUCGUAGUCCGGAUCGCAGUCUGCAACUCGACUGCGUGAAGUCGGAAUCGCUAGUAAUCGUGAAUCAGAAUGUCACGGUGAAUACGUUCCCGGGCCUU